CCCUACGGGGCGCAGCAGGCGCGAAAACUUUACAAUGCUGGAAACAGCGAUAAGGGGACCUCGAGUGUCAGGUUACAAAUCUGGCUGUCGUGAUGCCUAAAAAGCAUUGCACAGCAAGGGCCGGGCAAGACCGGUGCCAGCCGCCGCGGUAACACCGGCGGCUCGAGUGGUAACCGUUAUUAUUGGGUCUAAAGGGUCUGUAGCCGGCCGGAUAAGUUUCUUGGGAAAUUUGGCAGCUUAACUGUCAGGCUUUCAGGAGAUACUGUCUGGCUCGAGGCCGGGAGAGGUGAGAGGUACUUCAGGGGUAGGGGUGAAAUCCUGUAAUCC
rnacentral:rRNA from 1 species